rnacentral:rRNA from 1 species
UGGGGAAUAUUGGACAAUGGGCGAAAGCCUGAUCCAGCCAUGCCGCGUGUGUGAAGAAGGUCUUCGGAUUGUAAAGCACUUUAAGCUGGGAGGAAGGGCAGUAAGCGAAUACCUUGCUGCUUUGACGUUACCGACAGAAUAAGCACCGGCUAACUCUGUGCCAGCAGCCGCGGUAUACAGAGGGUGCAAGCGUUAAUCGGAAUUACUGGGCGUAAAGCGCGCGUAGGUGGUUCGUUAAGUUGAAUGUGAAAGCCCCGGGCUCAACCUGGGAACUGCAUCCAAAACUGGCGGGCUAGAGUAGGGCAGAGGGUGGUGGAAUUUCCUGUGUAGCGGUGAAAUGCGUAGAUAUAGGAAGGAACACCAGUGGCGAAGGCGACGACCUGGGCUCAUACUGACACUGAGGUGCGAAAGCGUGGGGAGCAAACAGG